UACGUAGGGGGCUAGCGUUGUCCGGAUUUAUUGGGCGUAAAGAGCGUGUAGGCGGCCAGGUAGGUCUGGUGUGAAAACUCGAGGCUUAACCUCGAGAUGUCAUCGGAAACCAUUUGGCUAGAGUCCGGAAGAGGAGAGUGGAAUUCCUGGUGUAGCGGUGAAAUGCGCAGAUAUCAGGAAGAACACCAAUGGCGAAGGCAGCUCGCUGGGACGGUACUGACGCUGAGACGCGAAAGCGUGGGGAGCGAACAGG
rnacentral:rRNA from 1 species